AGGAUUAACGCUGGCGGCGUGCCUAACACAUGCAAGUCGAACGAGGUAGCAAUACCUAGUGGCAGACGGGUGGGUAACACGUGGGCAACCUGCCCCUCACACUGGGAUAACCUCGGGAAACCGGGGCUAAUACCGGAUACGACCUCGAGCGGCAUCUCUUGAGGUGGAAAGCUCCGACGGUGAGGGAUGGGCCCGCGGCCUAUCAGCUUGUUGGUGGGGUAAUGGCCUACCAAGGCGACGACGGGUAG
rnacentral:rRNA from 1 species